rnacentral:misc_RNA from 1 species
GAUGAGAACGCAGCGAAAUGCGAUAAGUAGUGUGAAUUGCAGAAUUCAGUGAAUCAUCGAAUCUUUGAACGCACAUUGCGCCCAUCAGUAUUCUGUUGGGCAUGCCUGUCCGAGCGUCAUUUCAACCCUCAGGGCCCGUUCGCGGGAACUGGUGUUGGGGAUCGGCCUCCCCCCGGAGGCCGGCCCCGAAAUGCAGUGGCGGCUCUACCGCGAUCUCCUCUGUGUAGUAGCGAUACCUCGCAGCUGGAUAGUGGUGGUGCCACGCCGUAAAAUCCCAACUUUACCAAGGUUGACCUCGGAUCAGGUAGGAAUACCCGCUGAACUUAAGCAUAUCAAUAAGCGGAGGA